rnacentral:lncRNA from 1 species
GCGUCCGCCUUGGGAUCGGGAGGUCGAAGGUUCGAGCCCCAUGGGGACCGUUCGUCCGAGGAAUGUUUGUCAUGCGACUGGUUCCGAAAAGGCCGGUUCGUGAGCCGCGAGCUAGUUAAAUGAAUGGUUACCGACUUCUAUCCGCCUGGCGCCUGGCAUAGUGGUAGGAGUUGGGAGGUAAUUGGUACGCACUAUAAAGGUGUCUUAUAAGCCAAAUUGGCCGGCCCUUUCAAUAGGGGUGACACUAUAAUAAACAAGACCUUUACCUUUUUAUAGAUGAUCUCGCCUACCUCGGCAAAAUUGUCAGUUUGAGCCCGGACUCGGCCUUGUGAAAUUAUUUUUAAAGAAGCUAUCCAGCAAGUCUGCGAUAGUUUCUGGUUCUUUCCAGUAAGUGUGUUUCUCUACUACAAACAGAUGAUCUCCGACGUUUUACUUAAUUUUAGCUAAACGUUAAAAAUUGACCCCAUUACUUAUCAAAAUUUAACGACUUAUCAGGUCUUAACGACUUUUUGAUCAAACUUUAAUGUUGAAAUGUUGACAGGAUCAACUCUCAACGUUGAAAAAUGACACAUGGGGUCAAUUUUCAACGGGGUCAAAAUUUAAUGUUACACGGAUCGUCAUAUGAGAUACAGCAAAUGAGUCCGAAGCGCAACUAAUGGUCAAAGUCUAUCAGUCAUGGGAUUUAAUCGGCAUUUGUGUGAACUUUCCCCAAAAAAUAAUGUAACAUGCAAAAAUCUCAACUUGGUCUCAUCAUUUUUUCGGAAUGUUUAUCAUAUAUAUUGCUACACAGAACAGUAGUGCGGCGCAAUGACCCGGAAACUUAAAUAAACUCGUACACAACAUGUUUGACACAGUCUUACACAAUUCACUCAACCUUUGUGAUUUAAUCAACGCGUUAUUCCCGAGGCACUGUUCAUGCUCAGUUCACUUAGCACGUGACUUUCGUGACAACAUACUGUUAUUGUUAUAGCCAGUCCGGGUUUUCAGAGAGGCGAGUCAACAAAAUGUUUUCCAGUUGCUAUGGUGGCAUUAUUGCAUAGAUGAGAGACCAUCCAUAAUUCAGUCACAACAUCGACUGACGUGGUUUCAGAUUUGGAGCAGGAAGGGGUUACUGUGAACACUUACCACCACAUCUUGGCAAUGGUAUGUAUGGAUGACCGACGUUUAGAUGUUCAAAGUUUUACAACGGUUUUGGUUCAUAUAGGGUGUGUAUGUUUACUUUUUCUUACAUGUGGCAACACUUUGGUAUAUUUGUUUCUCUUUUCACACAUGCCUCUCUAUAUGUAUACACGCAACAGGGUCACCAUGGGAACGUACCGCCACAAAAUACAUAUAGACAAUGACUGACGUUCAGAUGAGCAGAUUUUAGAGCAUAUACGGUUAGUACAUGUAUGUCUACAUUUACUUUUAUGUGGCGACGAUUUGAUACAUUUGUUUUGUUUUUACACAUGCCUUUCUGUAUUUAUACAUUCAACUUUAACAGGGUUACCAUGGAAACGUACCUUAAUAUCUAGGCAAUGGUAUAUUGGAUGGGCAACGUUCAGAUGUACAAAGUCAUACAGCAGAUUUUAGAGCACUAACUUCUACAUCUAGGCAAAGGUAUAAAUGGAUGACGACGUCCAAACCCACAAACAGCAGUGAGAGAAAUCCUGCAACCGAUAACGAUCACGUGACAAACGCUUAGCUUUAAAUUGUCUAAGCUUUGCUAGGACCCGUAAAUGAAUUCAGGCAAAACUUGAAUAUAAACAAACAUUUGGAUAAUAUGUGCGGUUAUUGAAAACUCAAUCUACCUUGCAUGUGUUUUGCUGCGUAAUUCUUGGUGUUCGGUGUUUGCUGUUUUGUCAGGGAUUUGUUUGGCUAUUUGAUGGUGUUUCACGGUGGUGGUUUUGGUGUUUGUUGUGUUGUUGGUGUCUUCCAUGUGGUCUUCUCGGUUGUAUUCGAUCAUGUUUGUGUUGUUUUGUUAAAAUGGGCGUUUGGUGCGAAUUGUAUGUCGCAUUUAGUUCGUCAUCGUUCGUUCCGUUACAAGGUGAAUUUCUUUUUGCCACUAGCAGUACAUUAUAAAUAGAUUUAUUCAUGUACACAAAAACUGCUUUGUGAUUGAUUUGUUUUACGUUUCCCAUCAGUUUUAGAUAGCUGCAAAGACAUGUCAUGAAAUUUGCAGACGACAGAUAUUGGGUGCAGGCGAGAUCUGGGUUGAACGCGCGAAAGCUGCAAAGACAUGCCAUGAAAUAUGCAGACGACAGACAUGCGGUGCAGACGAGAUCUGGGUUGAACGCGCGAAAUUGUUUUGUUUUAUUUCUGCAUUUUACGCUUUUUGUUUUGUAUUUCUUUUUUUCUACUAGAAUGCUGGGGUAUGUGUACUUGAAGAAAAAAAGACGCAGACGGAUAGGACAUGGAGAUGCAGACCAAGCAAAAUGUGCGUUUCUCUUUAUGAUGAACAGACAAUGCAAUGGUUUAGUGGAUGGUGCAGCUCUGGUACAUGAUAUUGUCUACAAGCACGUGCGUGGAUGUCAUGUUGUAGAUUUCACAGUGGUUAAGUCGGUGCUGCAACUUGAUCCUUUUUCUAAGGAAUGUGCAUUCAACUUAUGGCUAUGGUGAAAGAAAAGCUCGAAGUAUCGGACAAGAAACUUGAAACUAUUCGAUAUGAAACUCAGGCUAUCAGACGAGGAACCCGAACUGUCCGACAAGAAGCAGUUUCCUGUAC